rnacentral:misc_RNA from 1 species
AAGUCGUAACAAGGUUUCCGUAGGUGAACCUGCGGAAGGAUCAUUACCACGUAUCCACGUACCCACUCAACGUGCAUGGAAAUCUCCCUGAAGAUAAAUUUAUUUAUUUAUUUUUGGGCUAUUAUUUUCAUAUACAAACUUAUCUCACAAUUUGAACAACUUCUAUAAAAUAUUGCAAGUUGACUUAUUAUAUUGAAAGAUUUUUAUAAUUUUUCAUUUUCUUAUUUUAAUCGAUAGGAAUAUCAUACAGUACAACUCUUAGCAAUGGAUAUCUUGGCUCUC